rnacentral:rRNA from 1 species
UACGAAGGGUGCAAACGUUGCUCGGAAUUAUUGGGCGUAAAGCGCACGUAGGCGGCUUUGCAAGUCCCAUGUGAAAUCCCACGGCUCAACCGUGGAAGUGCAUGGGAAACUGCAGAGCUUGAGUAACUUAAGAGGAUCGCGGAAUUCCCGGUGUAGAGGUGAAAUUCGUAGAUAUCGGGAGGAACACCAGUGGCGAAGGCGGCGAUCUGGGAAGAUACUGACGCUGAGGUGCGAAAGCGUGGGGAGCAAACAGG